GACCCACGGGAGCCAAGUUCAGGGGUCCCCCACCCCGCCCCACCCCAUCUCUGUCACAUUUUUUUUUUUCCAGAAAAUGGAGGGAUUUAGCCCUUGAAGCAGCCUGGUUCUUCCAGAGGGGUGUUACGCUUUGUGGCUCUUUGGCCCCAUCUUAUGGACAACAGUAUUAUAAAUCGGAGAUGGACGAUGGUCCUGCAGAGCAGGUGCCCCAGAAGUUUGAUUUCUUAUUAUAAAGUCAAAGUGUAAUGAUGACUCGGUUUCUCCCAGACUACAUUCAGGAAUACCCUUAGAGUUCACCGAUGUUCAGAAAAUCAGUGGCGAGUAUGGAAAUCUUACAUGUGAACAUGUGAACAGAACCGUUGCGCAUGGUAACUCGAAGACUGUGGGAAUCAAACACAAGAAUUAAAGAAGGAGCUGCCCAGUGGUCUGUCUCAUUUACAAGUCUGCAGUCCUCAUCAUCCCGAUAUUGUCUUAUCUCUUUCAAGAGACUGGGGUCAUAUUAAUU
rnacentral:lncRNA from 1 species